CUGUUUCCUUCGGCCCUUGGUUUAAUGCUGUCCACUACCCAGGAGCAAAACUCUUUCCAUGGCAAGAAACAUCGAAUACCUGUAGUGGAUGGAGAUUCUGGGGUCCUAAAUUUAUGGCCGAUUGCACUGUCCUGGAGACAGAGUGGAACCACAGCCAGAGCCCCUGGGACUCACCGCUGAAAGACUGCAUCACUUCUCCGUGGAGUCCUCCUCCUUCUCCUUACUUUCUUUUUAGGUAAGGUUUAUCUUUUUAUUAAAUCAUAAAAUGAGCAUCAUCAUGUUGGCAGUAAAUGAAUUAUUAGGUAAAGUCCUUUCUAUAAAACUUGGCUUCUGUUCAUUCCCUCUCUGAGCCCAGUGGAACAAAAUGUCCAAAUUGAACCCUGCAAUCUUCCCACAGGUAUUCAUUCUGAUAUGCAGCUCCUUUAUUUUUUAGCCAUUCUUCCUUUGGUCUUGCAGACAGGGUUAGUGGCUUAUGUGUUAUUUUUCAGACCAAGUAUUAGAUCCAUUUAUAUGCCUGUCUUUGUGCUCAGACUCUGGCUCAAAGCCAUGAUAACGACUAAAGAAUAUGAAAAUGCUCAGAGAACAUGAACUUUUUGGCAAAGGAUAUAGGGAACUGUGUAGAUACCCGAUGACUUUGUCUGUGUCUAUGGAGGGAAUAGAACGAAUCAGAAAUAAGAGUCCCUUUUGGGCCUGCCCAAUUAUAUCAUUCUGAUCAAAGUCAGGAUCCCAUAAAAGGAGUAAAAUUAAUUUUCCAGUUUCAUUGAGAUCCCUUUGCUUUGCCCAAAUCAGCCUAAACGGCCUUAAGUGUCUGGAAUGGUGAGAUGACUCAAUCCCCAACUUUAUCGUAUUUAUUCAGCCUAAAUUCUGCUCAUAAAUCCACUAGUUCAAUAUUUUAUGCUAACGAAAACUAUUAACAUUUUGCAUUUUCUCCCAUUACAAAAGUUUUCAUACAGACCUCAACAUUUUGACUACAAGAUGUAAAAUUUUGAUAUUGGAUCCAAAGGAAGGUAGGGAAUUAGAUAGAUAGAUGAUAGAUAGAUAGAUAGAUAGAUAGAUAGAUAGAUAGAUAGAUAAAUGAUCGAUCUUGUCUCAAUACCAUCUUCAUUCAACUUGGUUUUUGGUUUACUGAGCUGUAUAAAUCAGCACUCAGCCACAUCACAGAGGGAUGGAGGGCCUUAGCCAUCAUGGCCUGAGAACCAUUGUCAGGAAGCAUUGGACUUAGCUUCGUGAACAUCAGAAUGUUUGCACCAGCUCUGACAGGAAGUUCACUGCGUGAUGGCAAAAGUUCCCUGAGUGAUGGUAGAAAGCUUGCAAAAUAGCUUCUGAAUUCAAGCAACCAAAGAGGCUGUUUCCCCUCCUUCUGUAAAGUGACACUGUUAGUAGAACACCAUCAGAUGGAGGAGGAGGGUGUGUGGGUGCUGGAUUCUGUGCAGCUAGAAAUCUGGUAGGUAGGUCCUGUUUAGUCUGUGCCAGAAGCCAAACAGGCCUCAGAAAGGGAGUUCAGGAGUCUUCUUAGCUCCUGGUGAUUUACUCUGACUUUCCUUUGUAAGCAUAUGGAUUCUAUUUUCUGCUGUCUCUAUAAAUACUGCUGUGACUGUCUCUGCCAAACCAGCUACCUUUCUCACCCCAGGGAGAAGCCAGGGAUCAGACAUUCCUAUGCUACCGCCCCAUUAGACACUGCUGUAACACGAGGGAGCAGAGCUGGCAGUCAAUAUGAUGUGUGUAUUUGAAUCUUUAAAGAGCUAGGCUAAACUUAGGGUCAGUGGACUACCAUAAAUAACCUGUGUUCCUCUCUCUUUGCGUGGUUUGCCCUGGAAUGCCUUGUGCUUUAGUGUUGUACAAGCAGCAAGAGAUCAAAGAGUCAACCUUUUAUGGAUGCAUAGUUCAUUACAAAGUCAUCCGUGGGAGGAGACCCUGGCAAAAGCACUAAUCAUUCUCUCCUGUGACUGUUUUGUUGCCUGAAUUGGGAUUGGAGGGCACUAAAAGAACUUGCAACCACUUUAAGUCAUUUAAAAGAAUAAAAUGAAGAUGGAAAUUCACUUUUAAAGGAGGGCCAAAACUUAACUGGCACCUUUUUUGGGUAUAGAAUGUGGUAGGAGGAAAUAGGAAGUAAAGGAGUUGACCCACUACCACAUGGAAUGCAGUUCGAGAAGAGUAAUAGCAGGCAGAACAGAAUCCUGUGUAAUUUACUUACCCUUGGGUAAGCAUUAAGAGAACCUUUGAUAAGCAGAGCAGAACAUCUACAGGAUUUUUUUUUUUAAGCCCAAACUAGAUAAUGUAUCUGAAAACCAGACUUGAAACUAGUUUGCUAGAAUAUAAAGAAUAAAUGUGUUUCAAAUUUUAACACUGACGAUAUUGCAAACCCAGGAUUGUGGAUAAUCACAAUGCUACCAAACAAUAGUUACUAUUUAUUCGAUGUCUGCUGCAUGCCACAUGCUGUGCAGUGUGUGUGAUAUCUUUUCAUCUCACAGCCGUGCACGGGGAUGAUGUGUUGGUAUCACCACAUAUACACAGGGAAACAGGACCCUGCGAAGUUGAAGUGCUUAGCUCAAGAUCACACGGUCACUAAGCGGUAAGGCCAGGAUUUGAACCGAGCUCUGGAAGGAAGUGGAAAUGACUAUCACUUAGCCUGUAGUUAAUAUUUUUGGCUGCUGACACUUUUUCUAGUCUCUGUUGCAGGAGUUGUUAGAACUCUUUUGUUUUCUGAGCUUGGGAGUUUUGCUCUAAAGACAUACUCUGUGAUUAAGACUUAUUUUGUCUGAGCUGACUGUGUAUCUGUAUGGGGUCUCUGUCCUUGUGGUUGGCCAUAGGCAGGCAGACUUAAUCACUGAUACUUACAAAACAUAUUGCAUAGCUAAGACCUUUGAUCUGGCAUUUUGGAAGUUAGGGACUGGAUAUCUUAUAAAAGAAUGUCUGUUGCAUGCUUGAUCAAUUACAGUGAUAGCUAAAGAAGCAUUUUCUCAAAUGUAUUAUUUUAACAGGAAUCAUGUUCUAGUUUCCCAUUCUUUAGGUGACUUUAAGUUUAAUAAAACCUGAACUGUAUGAACCUUUAAAAAAAAAUGACCGAGUAAAAUGCAAAAAAAAAAAUAGACAAUAAUUACAGUCAAUAAAGUCUCAAUGGCUCUGUAUCCCUCAGAGCUUCUGUUCUUAUCAUAGAUAAAGCCUGAAUCAGAGAGAUGUCACAAGAUCAAAUGACUAAGAUGACUGGAAAACUACAAUGCUCUGCAAAUGUUACCUUCUCUCUGUCCUCAGUGAUACUACCUUUUGUUCAACCCAUCUCUUCCUGCUGUUUUAAAAUAAAAAGGUUUUUAAAAGUCAGAAACAGAAGCAAAUAACUGAUCGAUUCUUUUUUUUAUUAACCAAUUUCAUAGCAAUUGAAAACAUCAUCCAAAAUACUGUAGAUCUUUCCCCCCUUCAAGUUUUCUUGAAAGAUUUCACACGUGCAGUGUAAGAAAUUGUGAGUCAGCCUUCUCCAAUCCUGACUUUAAGAGUUGCAAAAAUCAUCUGCCAGGGAUCACAUAUGUUCUUGGUUCCAUGAGAGGAAGAAAACACAUUUGCUGGAAG